rnacentral:rRNA from 1 species
GCAUAUCAAUAAGCGGAGGAAAAGAAACCAACCGGGAUUACCUCAGUAACGGCGAGUGAAGCGGUAACAGCUCAAAUUUGAAAUCUGGCUCCUCUGGAGUCCGAGUUGUAAUUUGUAGAAGAUGCUUUGGGUUGUGGGUUCGGCCUAAGUUCCUUGGAACAGGACGUCAUAGAGGGUGAGAAUCCCGUAUGUGGCCGAGGCCCGCGCCUAUGUAAAGCUCUUUCAACGAGUCGAGUUGUUUGGGAAUGCAGCUCAAAAUGGGUGGUAAAUUUCAUCUAAAGCUAAAUAUGGGCCAGAGACCGAUAGCGCACAAGUAGAGUGAUCGAAAGAUGAAAAGCACUUUGGAAAGAGAGUUAAACAGUACGUGAAAUUGUUGAAAGGGAAGCGCUUGCACCCAGACUUGGGCGCUGCCGAUCACCUUGCGGUCUCCGCGAGUGCACUCGACAGCGCACAGGCCAGCAUCGGUUCGGGUGGCUGGAUAAAGGCCGUAGGAACGUAGCUCUCUUCGGGGAGUGUUAUAGCCUACGGUGCCAUGCAGCCCAGCCGGACCGAGGACCGCGCCUUCGGGCUAGGAUGCUGGCGUAAUGGGUGUAAGCGACCCGUCUGAAACACGGACC